rnacentral:rRNA from 1 species
AUUGAACGCUGGCGGCAGGCCUAACACAUGCAAGUAGAACGAGUGGCGGACGGGUGAGUAAUGUCUGGGAAACUGCCCGAUGGAGGGGGAUAACUACUGGAACCGGUAGCUAAUACGGCAUACCAUCAGAUGUGCCCAGAUGGGAUUAGCUGGUGGGUGGGGUAACGGCUCACCUAGGCGACGAUCCCUAGAUGGUCUGAGAGGAUGACCAGCCCAACUGGACCUGAGACACGGUCCAGACUCCGACGUGAGGCAGCAGUGGGGAAUAUUGCACAAUGGGGGCAAGCCUGAUGCAGCCAUGCCGCGUGUAGGAAGAAGGCCUUCGGGUUGUAAAGUACGUUCAGCGGGGAGGCGUUACCCGCAGAAGAAGCACCGGCUAACUCCGUGCCAGCAGCCGCGGUAAUAC